rnacentral:rRNA from 1 species
CCCUUAGAUGUUCUGGGCCGCACGCGUGCUACACUGAGUGGAUCAGCGGGUCAGGUUGCGCGAAAGUGUUUCCUAAUCUUGAAAUCCGCUCGUGAUGGGGAUUGACGGUUGCAAUUUUCCGUCAUGAACGAGGAAUACCUUGUAAGCGCGGGUCAUCAUCCCGCGCUGAAUACGUCCCUGCCCUUUGUUCACACCGCCCGUCGCUCCUACCGAUUGAGUGGUCCGGUGAGGCUUUGGGAUCUGAGCGGAAAGAGCGUUUCGCUGUUUCUGCUCGGAAAACUCAGUCGAACCUUAUCAUUUAGAGGAAGGAGAAGUCGUAACA